rnacentral:ribozyme from 1 species
GGGCGGGAAAGCCGCCCUGGUGUAAAGUAGCCACCGUUUCGGUGCAGGUUGCAAGCCCUGGUAAAUACUGAGCGAGCC